UACAGAGGUCUCAAGCGUUGCUCGGAAUCACUGGGCGUACAGGGUGCGUAGGCGGGUCUUUAAGUCAGGGGUGAAAUCCUGGAGCUCAACUCCAGAACUGCCUUUGAUACUGAGGAUCUUGAGUACGGGAGAGGUGAGUGGAACUGCGAGUGUAGAGGUGAAAUUCGUAGAUAUUCGCAAGAACACCAGUGGCGAAGGCGGCUUCCUGGACCGACACUGACGCUGAGGCGCGAAAGCUAGGGGAGCAAACGGG
rnacentral:rRNA from 1 species